rnacentral:misc_RNA from 1 species
GAUGAAGAACGCAGCAAAAUGCGAUAAGUAAUGUGAAUUGCAGAAUUCAGUGAAUCAUCGAAUCCUUGAACGCACAUUGCGCCCGCUGGUAUUCCGGCGGGCAUGCCUGUUCGAGCGUCAUUUCAACCCUCAAGCCCCCGGGUUUGGUGUUGGGGAUCGGCUCUGCCCUUCUGGGCGGUGCCGCCCCCGAAAUACAUUGGCGGUCUCGCUGCAGCCUCCAUUGCGUAGUAGCUAACACCUCGCAACUGGAACGCGGCGCGGCCAUGCCGUAAAACCCCAACUUCUGAAUGUUGACCUCGGAUCAGGUAGGAAUACCCGCUGAACUUAAGCAUAUCAAUAAGCGGAGGA